AUGUGCAUUUUCACACAGAAAGGCUUUGGGCCUACAGAGAAGAGAGUCAGAGCUGUGGUAGAAGCCAGAAAACCGCAAAACUACUCCAAGAGCAUCAUAAAAGGUGAGGUUGUACUGUGUGAACAGUGUGGUGUUUUAGAGCAGGAGGUUUUUGUACAGCCACUGAAUGAGUUUGUAUCACUGUGGUACACUUUUGGUGGAGGAACCAAACUGGCUGUUGGACGUGACACGGCACCCACUCUCUCAGUGCUGCCCCUGUCCAGCGUGGAGCAGGAUCAGGAGAAGGCCACUCUGGUCUGUGUGGGCAGCGGGGGCUUCCCCUCAGACUGGAAGUUGAGCUGGAAGGUGGGCGGUUGCUCAUUGGAGUCGGGGGUCAGUCAAAGCCCUGCGGUUCUGCAGAAGAACGACGGCCUCUACAGCUGGAGCAGCACCCUGACCCUCAGCCAGCAGCAGUGGCUGAAGAACACAGUGACCUGUGAGGCCACCAAGGACUCCCAGCCUACUGUCCGCAAGACAGUGACCGCAGAUCAGUGCUCUGACCUGUGACCUCACAAAUGCACCUCCAAUGUUCGUUAGUCGAAGCACAUUUUCUUUUGCAUGACUAUCUGCAUUU